rnacentral:tRNA from 1 species
AUUUUAAUAGUUUAAUAAAAAUAUUAAAUUGCAAAUUUAAAGAUAAUUUUUUAAAAAAUUUUAAGAUU